rnacentral:rRNA from 1 species
UGUUUCGGCUAGGGGGCCAUCCCGGCUUACCAACCCGAUGCAAACUGCGAAUACCGGAGAAUGUUAUCACGGGAGACACACGGCGGGUGCUAACGUCCGUCGUGAAGAGGGAAACAACCCAGACCGCCAGCUAAGGUCCCAAAGUCAUGGUUAAGUGGGAAACGAUGUGGGAAGGCCCAGACAGCCAGGAUGUUGGCUUAGAAGCAGCCAUCAUUUAAAGAAAGCGUAAUAGCUCACUGGUCGAGUCGGCCUGCGCGGAAGAUGUAACGGGGCUAAACCAUGCACCGAAGCUGCGGCAGCGACACUUUAGUGUUGUUGGGUAGGGGAGCGUUCUGUAAGCC